CCCUAGCCCCGAUAGAAGUGGAAAUCCUUUUGUGCCGGUGUUCGGCGCAAAAGAUUGGAACGCAUAGCGGGAAGAGCU
rnacentral:sRNA from 1 species